rnacentral:rRNA from 1 species
GGCUACGGCCAUGCCACCCUGAACAGGCUUGAUUUCAUCUGAUCUCAGAAGCUAAGCAGGGUUGGGCCUGGUUAGUACUUGGAUGGGAGACCACCUAGGAAUGAAUACCAGGUGCUGUAGGUG